UACGGAGGGGGCUAGCGUUGUUCGGAAUUACUGGGCGUAAAGCGCACGUAGGCGGACUGUUAAGUCGGGGGUGAAAUCCUGGGGCUCAACCUCAGAAUUGCCUCCGAUACUGGCAGUCUCGAGUGCGGGAGAGGUGAGUGGAAUUCCUGGUGUAGCGGUGAAAUGCGCAGAUAUCAGGAAGAACACCCCGUGGCGAAGGCGGCUCUCUGGAACGCAA
rnacentral:rRNA from 1 species